rnacentral:rRNA from 1 species
AUACGUAGGUGGCGAGCGUUAUCCGGAAUUACUGGGUGUAAAGGGUGUGUAGGCGGGAAGGCAAGUCGGAUGUGAAAAUUAUGGGCUCAACCCAUAAAGUGCGACCGAAAAUGUUUUUCUUGAGGAUCGGAGAGGGAAUGAGAAUUCCCGGUGUCGUGGUGAACUGCGCAGAGAUUGGGAGGAACACCAGUGGCGAAGGCGACUUACUGGACUGUAACUGACGCUGAGGCGCGAAAGUGUGGGGAGCAAACAGGAUUAGAUACCCUGGUAGUCCACACUGUAAACGAUGAAUGCUAGGUGUAGGGGGUAUCGACCCCUUCUGUGCCGCAGUUAACACAAUAAGCAUUCCGCCUGGGGAGUACGGCCGCAAGGUUGAAACUCAAAGGAAUUGACGGGG